GCCCUCGUAGCUUAAUGGCAGAGCAAUUUUAAGCUUAAUUGCUUCGUAAGCAAUAGGUUGAGGGUUCAACUCCCUCCGAGGGCU
rnacentral:tRNA from 1 species